rnacentral:rRNA from 1 species
UGGGGAAUCUUCCGCAAUGGACGAAAGUCUGACGGAGCAACGCCGCGUGAGUGAAGAAGGUUUUCGGAUCGUAAAGCUCUGUCUUCGAGGACGAAUGUGCCUUAUGUGAAUAAUGUUAUGUGUAAUGACGGUACUCGAGGUAGGAAGCCACGGCUAAC